CCUACGGGUGGCAGCAGUGGGGAAUAUUGGACAAUGGGCGAAAGCCUGAUCCAGCCAUGCCGCGUGUGUGAAGAAGGCCUUCGGGUUGUAAAACACUUUCAGUGGGGAAGAAAGCCUUGGGGCUAAUACCCUCGAGGAAGGACAUCACCCACAGAAGAAGCACCGGCUAACUCCGUGCCAGCAGCCGCGGUAAUACGGAGGGUGCGAGCGUUAAUCGGAAUUACUGGGCGUAAAGCGCGCGUAGGCGGUCUGAUAAGCCGGUUGUGAAAGCCCCGGGAUCAACCUGGGAACGGCAUCCGGAACUGUCAGGCUAGAGUGCAGGAGAGGAAGGUAGAAUUCCCGGUGUAGCGGUGAAAUGCGUAGAGAUCGGGAGGAAUACCAGUGGCGAAGGCGGUCUUCUGGACUGACACUGACGCUGAGGUGCGAAAGCGUGGGUAGCAAACAGGAUUAGAUACCCUUGUAGUC
rnacentral:rRNA from 1 species